AUUUCCAAUGAGCUAAUGAGGAAAAAGGGGAUGAUGAAAAAACAGGGAGUGGGAGCAAUUUGGAAAUGGAAAGAAUGCUGAAUACCUACAUGAUGCCUAAUUCAGAAGAACAUUCUGUUUUCAAAUUAAGAACAAUGUGUUUGCACUUAAUGAAACAACCUCUACUGCUCUUCAAGAGGACUCAGGAUACCGAUUCUCGAGGCCCCUGGCGGUCCCCUUAUAGGGUUGUAUAACUCCAGCAAUUUCAAAGAAAAGCUUCCCUGCCACCCUCCUCAUAGAGCUGUUGACCUGGUAUCCUGGACUUUGAGGAACUAAGAUUGUCACUCACUUAAAGCAAUU
rnacentral:lncRNA from 1 species